rnacentral:ncRNA from 1 species
GGACUCCCGCCUGGGUAACUGCUAGCCACUGGCCCAGUAUAGAGUGUUGCAGCUUGCGUGUAAGGCGUAUCGCCGAAGUCGCCGGUUGAAGCGUACACAGAAAGGUAGUGAGGAUGAAAGGUAAAGGGGUUGCGCCCCGCCCUGAACGGUAUUUAGCUCCGAGAACAUGGUUUCUGUUGGAUCCUGCCCAAGGUCUUUGCAUGCUGGAAGGCAAUACUUCGGUUCACGCUAACGGUGAUUGAAUCGAGGAAACCCGGAGUCGAAGGCCC